UACGUAGGCAGCAAGCGUUGUUCGGAGUUACUGGGCGUAAAGGGUGUGUAGGCGGUCUUCUAAGUUUGGUGUGAAAUCUCCCGGCUCAACUGGGAGGGUGCGGCGAAAACUGGGAGGCUAGAGUGCGGGAUGGGAGAGUGGAAUUCCUGGUGUAGCGGUGAAAUGCGUAGAGAUCAUGAGGAAGACCAGUGGCGAAGGCGGGUCUCUGGACAGUUCCUGACACUGAGGCACGAAGGCAAGGGGAGCAAACGGG
rnacentral:rRNA from 1 species